AGUGAACGCUGGCGGUAGGCCUAACACAUGCAAGUCGAACGGCAGCACAGUAAGAGCUUGCUCUUACGGGUGGCGAGUGGCGGACGGGUGAGGAAUACAUCGGAAUCUACUUUUUCGUGGGGGAUAACGUAGGGAAACUUACGCUAAUACCGCAUACGACCUACGGGUGAAAGCAGGGGAUCUUCGGACCUUGCGCGAUUGAAUGAGCCGAUGUCGGAUUAGCUAGUUGGCGGGGUAAAGGCCCACCAAGGCGACGAUCCGUAGCUGGUCUGAGAGGAUGAUCAGCUACACUGGAACUGAGACACGGUCCAGACUCCUACGGGAGGCAGCAGUGGGGAAUAUUGGACAAAGGGCGCAAGCCUGAUCCAGCCAUACCGCGUGUGUGAAGAAGGCCUUCGGGUUGUAAAGCCCUUUUGUUGGGAAAGAAAAGCAGCAGGUUAAUACCCCGCUGUUCUGACGGUACCCAAAGAAUAAGCACCGGCUAACUUCGUG
rnacentral:rRNA from 1 species